rnacentral:rRNA from 1 species
GAUGAACGCUAGCGGCAGGCUUAAUACAUGCAAGUCGUGGGACAGCAGGUUUGUAGCAAUACAGAUGCUGGCGACCGGCAAACGGGUGCGGAACACGUACAGAACCUUCCUUUGAGCGGGGAAUAGCCCAGAGAAAUUUGGAUUAAUACCCCAUAGUAUAAUGAAGUGGCAUCACUUUAUUAUUAAAGAUUUAUCACUCGAAGAUGGCUGUGCGGCUGAUUAGGUAGUUGGCGGGGUAAAGGCCCACCAAGCCUGCGAUCAGUAACUGGUGUGAGAGCACGACCAGUCACACGGGCACUGAGACACGGGCCCGACUCCUACGGGAGGCAGCAGUAAGGAAUAUUGGUCAAUGGAGGCAACUCUGAACCAGCCAUGCCGCGUGGAGGAUGAAGGUCCUCUGGAUUGUAAACUUCUUUUAUAUGGGACGAAAAAAGGCUUUUCUAAGUCGUCUGACGGUACCAUAUGAAUAAGCACCGGCUAACUCCGUGCCAGCAGCCGCGG